rnacentral:tRNA from 1 species
GCUGGAAUAGCUCAGUUGGUUAGAGCGUGUGGCUGUUAACCACAAGGUCGGCCCCUAACCCGUACCUGCC